rnacentral:rRNA from 1 species
AUUGAACGCUGGCGGCAGGCCUAACACAUGCAAGUCGAGCGAGCGGCGGACGGGUGAGUAAUGUCUGGGAAACUGCCUGAUGGAGGGGGAUAACUACUGGAAACGGUAGCUAAGACCGCAUACCAUCAGAUGUGCCCAGAUGGGAUUAGCUAGUUGGUGGGGUAACGGCCCACCUAGGCGACGAUCCCUAGCUGGUCUGAGAGGAUGACCAGGCACGCUGAGACUGUGACACGGUCCAGACUCCUACGGGAGGCAGCGGUGGGGAAUAUUGCACAAUGGGCGCAAGCCUGAUACAGCCAUGCCGCGUGUGUGAAGAAGGCCUUCGGGUUGUAAAGCACUUUCAGCGGGGAGGCGUUACCCGCAGAAGAAGCACCGGCUAACUCCGUGCCAGCCGCCGCGGUAAUUC